rnacentral:rRNA from 1 species
AUGGCGGCGGCGCUGGCGCCGGGGGUGUCCCGGAAGCUGAAGAAGGUGCUCGAGACGCGGACGGACAGCCCAGAUCUGCUGGCCUCGCUGGGCGCGCUCUCCACCUUCUACGAGCACAACACCCCGCAGGCGCGCCGCAACCUCAAGUCCUCCGUCGAGCAGCGCGCGCUCGCCAUCAACCGCCACUUCCUCGACGCCUCCCUCCCCGCCCAGAAGGCGUUGGAUCGCGUCGAGGGGGAAGUGCACGCGCUGGACGAUUCCUGGAAGAAGAUUGAGGAAGCAUUGAGCAGCUGUAGUGCAAGUACAGGGGAUAUCAUCAGUACAACGGAGAGGUUGCAACAAGAACUUGAGGUUAUCACUCAGCGCCAGGAAAUUGUAUCAUGUUUCCUGCGGGAUUACCAACUUUCAAAUGAAGAGAUACAUGCACUCCGGGAAGAAGAUAUAGAUGAGAAAUUCUUUAAGGCACUAUUGCAUGUCCAAGAAAUCCAUUCGAACUGCAAGGUUCUGCUGCGAACACACCACCAGCGUGCUGGUUUGGAACUUAUGGAUAUGAUGUCCGUGUACCAAGAAGGAGCUUAUGAAAGAUUAUGCAGGUGGGUUCAAGUUGAGUGUAAAAAACUAGGUGAUACUGAUAAUCCUGAAGUAAGUGAACUUUUGAAGAAGGCUGUUCGGUGCCUGAAGGAAAGGCCUGUUCUGUUCAAGUACUGCGCAGAAGAGGUUGCCAAUAUGAGGCAUCAUGCCUUAUUCAGGCGGUUUAUAAGUGCUCUUACUAGAGGUGGACCCGGAGGGCUCCCAAGACCAAUAGAAGUGCAUGCUCAUGAUCCUCUUCGUUAUGUAGGCGAUAUGCUGGGAUGGCUACAUCAGGCACUUGCAUCUGAAAGGGAGCUUAUAGCUGCGCUGCUUGAUCCGGAUGCAAUAAGUGACAGUGGUCCAGCUAAUCAUCGUCAUUCUGUAAGAGAAGGUGAUUCAUCCAAAGGAGAAUCUGAUUUCACUUUUGUUCUCGAUAGAAUAUUUGAAGGGGCAUGCCGACCGUUUAAAGUUCGAGUCGAGCAAGUUCUGCAGUCACAACCAAGUCUGAUAGUUUCUUACAAACUUAGUAAUACCCUGGAAUUUUAUGGUUACACGAUAUCAGAACUGCUGGGUGUAGACACAUCAUUGUGCAAUACAAUAUGGUCACUUAGAGAUGCAACACAGCGGACAUUCUUCAACAUCCUGAAGAGCCGUGGAGAAAAGUUAUUGCGAUAUCCUCCACUUGUUGCGGUUGACCUCUCUCCCCCACCAGCAGUGAGGGAGGGAGUUUCUCUGUUGCUUGAGCUCAUAAGUACCUACAAUAGCAUGAUGAUUUCUGCCUCUGGAAAAGGGUUAAACUUUGAUCCAGUCAUUUCUGCAAUAUUGGAUCCUAUAAUUCAGAUGUGUGAGCAAGCCGCAGAGGCACAAAAGUCAAAAGGUGCACUUGCACGGCGUGGUAGAACUAGUUCUGAACCUAUCGGAAGUAAGAUAGAUUCAAUCUCAGUUGAUGCUAUUCUAUCAAAGAAAUCAUCAACAUCUGUCCUGAGUGGUGAAUCUUCGUCCAAAGUUUACCUCAUCAACUGCUUAUCAGCUAUUGAGGAACCAUUGAUGGAUCAGGAGGUUGCUACAAGCUAUGUGAAAAACCUUCGCUCUAUGAUCGAAACACACACGCGUGCCUUGGUAGAUAAAGAAGCUGAUAGCAUUCUCAGUAAGUGUGGAUUGUCAAGUAAGAUGCCAUACAUGAAGAACUACAGCUCUACUGACGGCGAGGAUGAUGCAAGACCUCUGGCAGAUGUUGUGGAGACAUCACCACAAAUGCUUCUGGAGUGCUUGAAAGCUUUCUAUGGUAUUGUGACUGGAACAGAAGGCUCCUUGCCGGAAUUCGAGCAGCUGCAGGUUCCAAGGUUACGCUCAGACGCGUGCUAUGGUUUGGCGAGAGCACUAGCAGAAGCUUACGAGCUCAUUUACAAGGCGGUGAUGGAUCCAAAGAACUGUUAUCCUGACCCAAGAUCGUUGGUCAAGCAUUCGCCGGAGCAGAUAAGAACUAUACUGGAAAUCUGA